GGCAGCAUUUCAAAGUAUAUUUAACAAGAGCUUCAGCUAGAAGAGGUGAUGUUUACAACAACCAGGACAGAACCUUUUACACAUCCUGUCAUCACAUGAGGUCUGAUAAUUGCUGAACAGUUUGUUCUGGUCAAGGGUUCUCAGCCAUGGUCAGUUAGCUUUCUCAGAGUUGUAUUUAAUUUUAAUUAAAUCAGAGUUGCUAUAUAUAAUCUUAGCUAUUUUUAUUAUCCUUUGCCCAUGCUGCUGGUAGUGGUGUGAUGACAGUGUGAGUAGCACAGCUUAGCUGGUCUCUGCUGUGAGCAGAGCUGCUCUGCUGGGGCUCUAGGCUGGAUUUGGGGCUCUGUGAGCCAGCUGGGCACUGGGGCGGGUCCUGGGGCUGCUGCCCCUCCCCUGUACCUGCAGCAAAGAUUCACUGCCUGCAGCAAAAUCUGUGCCUUGAUGUACUUUGUUUUCCUGUCACCUUGCUGCUGCCUUUUCUGUGCUGCAGAAGCUCUUAGAGCCAUGCCUGCUGCAUCCUUUUAAAGCCUUGCCAAGUUCCCACUUUGGUCCAGCUGAUUGCCUGGAGGCACUGGUUUGUGAUCAGGUUUUUAAUGCCUUUUUUACAGGCAUCUACCAGAGAGGAUUUUUUGCAUAUGGAACUAAUGCUGCUAUUUUUUUUCCUGUCCCCUUCUAAUCUCUGUGAUAGUCAGGGAUGUAGGAAUUUUUCCACAUGUGGACUUUCAUCCCCUACUCUACACGUGUAUACUGCAAACCCCAGAAACCUGUAGGCAGGGUCCCAAGGAAUUCAGUGGCACACUGUGGUGCAAUUAUUGCUGGAUAUCAAGAGGAAAAUCCUUGAGCUAAAUCUGCUCCCACAAGUCUUCUUUAUUUAUACUCAUGUUGCUUUCCUGCUGCUGAGAUCUGGAAGUGCUUGUCAAGCCUUCAGCUGGGUUUCACAGGAACCUGUCUUCGUUCUUUCAAAGAUGCAGCCCUGAGCAACAACAGCCCUGAACCAAUUUGUUCCUUAUUCCUUGAAUUAUUUCAGUUCUUACAAAAUCCUGUAAAUUCUGUUUGCUGUCCUGCCGCAGUUUGCGUCAGACUGGAGCUGAACAACCUGGGAAGUAAUGCCAGGGGGUGUUUAGUAACAAGCAAAUAAUCCAGCUCGCUGCUGGCACCCAGCACUCAGGCUCCCAUUCCAGAGUCUAUAUUUAAAAUGGUUAUCUGCUUAUGCUGAGUGCUGCUGGAGAACUCCUUAAAAGACUGACUGUUGAAAAGUUCAGUGGCUGCUUUUGGCAGGGAAGCAGUAUGGCCAUGGGGUGAUCUGUGUGCCCCAGGCCAUGUGCAGAGGGAGCUGAGCCCAGCAGCCCCUGGGGAUGAGGUGAUGGCCAGCUAUGGCCACGCUCUGCAAAUAGCUGGGUCAGUAGCUGGCAGCAGCCACAAGUGUCAUUUGCUUUCCUCAGGAAUCUGCUGCAUCCUGACUGCCAAGCAGCCCUUCUAUAGAGAACUCUGAUAAUAAAAUACCUUUUGUAAUCUCUGUGCUGGGCUACUGCAGCCAAAAUUACUUUUAACCUUCAUGUCACCCAGCCUGGAUUGCUACGUGUGGUAUGAAAUACCAAUGUGUGCAUUUGGCAGCUGGGGGUGGGGCAGAGAACCUGUGACCUGUCCAGCAUCAGAGCCAGCAACUCCAAUGCCCUUCACGUCCCAGCUUUGGCUCCCUUGUUCCAGCACAAAGGACUCUGGUGCUGUGUAGUGUUGAAGCUUCAUUCCCACACUAAUCCCACUGUAGCUGGUGCAAGAGAGACCAUCAAGUGUUUGAGUCUCUCAGUUUUACAUGGUGUGAAGCAGCAAGAAGCCAGUCUGUUGGAGGAUGGAGUGGACAGGAAUGUCCUUUGGGAUUGCUGGCAUUUGCAUCUGGAUUUCCAUUUGCCUUGUAGCUGCAUCACACAGAGUAUAGCCUCCACUUCCAGCAAGGCAAGGAUGAAGGUCAUAAACCAUUCCCCAGAGCACAUCAGCCUGGCAUCACAUUUAUUUGAGAGGCUGGGAUGGAGCUGUUCCAGAGCUGGCUGCCAGCAGGGAGCUGGAUAUCUCCCAGCUGAUCACAGCCUGCUCUCCGAGCUGCCAUCCAUGGCCUCCUUCCAGCUACGGCAAAAUAAAAACCAAACAGUGUUUGUCUCUCACUAACCUGCCUCUUCCUUCCAGGGGCUGACAGCAGCAGUCAGUGCUGUGGAUUUAUGGCAGGGUGGCUGAGGGAGCUGGUUCCCAUCCCCAGUGCCAGGCUGGGACCUGUCAGGGGCUGCUGAGGGGCUGCUGGCCAGUGCCCAACCAGCUUCUCGAGUGCCUUGAGGUGCUUCUGCUGCUCUGGGAGCAGGGCAGAUGCAGUGCCAGGCCCUGGCUUCAGCCUGGAGAGCGUGGUGGGCUCAUGAGAGGGCUCUACAUUGCAGGUCCCAGGCUCCAGCAUGUGUGGACUGUGCUCAGAAGCAGGUGUGAACUCAGUGCCCCAUAAUUUAUGAGAAAAUGCAUACUAAAACCUCUGAGGCUAAAUCAAACUGGGUUGUUCUUUAGGUAAAACAAAAAUUGCUAUUUUCCAUGAGUCCAAACUGCUAUCCACUUAUUUACUUUCCAUGGCUAAAUUGAAUCUGCUCUGUACAUUGCCAGUUGCCAGUUUGUCAAUGCAGUGCAGAACCAGAUGGAUGCAGAGCAGCCCCUGGAUGAGGACCAUGUCCCCAGUUUUAAUCAGCCAGUUAACACAGAGCAGUUCUUCCCAGACAUCAGGCCUUUCCCCAGUCAGGCAUCCCAGCUGGCCAGGCAGGCUGUGGGGCUUGGGAGGAGAGCUCAGUGAAGGGCAGGCUCUGCCCAGCAGCACACAGGUCCUGCAGCAGGGGAGCUGUGCAUGUAUGGAUCUCGUUUGUGCAUGUAUGUAUCUCAGUGUAUCUCAUUUCCUUGCUUUUCUCAUGAGUGUUCCCGAUGAUUUGGGUUCUGAGGAUGCCAGUGUAACCAGUGUCUUCUAUAACUCCAGUUUCUCUUUUUUCCACACUCAGAAGAUGAGACACAUUUGUUCUCCAGGUCCUUGAAACAGUCAUAAGUCUUAUGCUCAUCCAUGAAUGUCCCAGAUGUUCACUACAUCACUUGACUUUUAUGAUGAGUGAUAAAUAAUAGGAGGAGAUGGAGUGCUUAAAGUGAAAUAAUUGACUGGAGUCAGUGGCCUGACUCCCCUGGAACUCAGGCCAUUUUCUGGAGUAUCAGGAUGCCCAGCUCCUUUAACAAUCAGCCCCUGUACAAUUUUUGUCCAAGACUAAAUAAAGAGAUGUAUUUUC